rnacentral:lncRNA from 1 species
AUGUUAACAGUUAUUAUCAGAGAGAAGAUUCAAAACAGCCUUCUUCUUGGGAGAAAAACAACCACCCCACCCCUUUUCCUCCAGACACACUCAGGGAUCCCUGCUACCCAAACUGAGCUAAAUCAUAAUAUGCAGUGGGUCACAUCUAUUUUCUUAUACCAUGUUUCAGCCAUGGCGGCUAAGGAUUGCCCAUCACUGUGGAGCUUUGGAACAACAAAGACGUUCAAAAUUCCCGUGGAGCAUUUGGAUUUCAAGUAUAUUGAAAAAUGUUCAGACGUGAAACACCUGGAAAAAAUUCUCUGCGUGCUGAGGUCCGGUGAAGAGGGCUAUUAUCCUGAACUCACAGAGUUUUGUGAAAAGCGCCUCAUGGGCUUGGCUCCUGGAAGUCGAGCUCUGAGGAAAGAUAAGCCCGCUGCAACGGCGUCCAGCUUCACAGCGGAGGAAUGGGAAAAAAUCGACAGUGACUUAAAGGGUCACUGUUGCUGUGCUGAAACACCACAGCUGAAAGCAACUCAGGGAGGAAGGGGUUAUUCGGCCUACACUCCCACAUCACAGUUCCUCAUGGAAGGAAGUCAGGGCAGGAACCUGAGGCAGGAGCCGAUGCAGAGGCCAUGGAGGGGAGCUGCUUACUGGCUUGCUCGCCAUGGCGUGCUCAACCUGCUUUCUUACAGCACCCAGAACACCAGUUGUGGGGUGGUCCUCCCCCGUCAGUCACCAAUAAAGAAAAUGCUCAACAGUCUUGCCUGGCAGCCCAUCUUCUGCAGGCAUUUUCUAAACUAAGGCUCCCUCCUCUCAGACAACUCUCGCUUGUGUCAAGUUGACAGAAAACCAUCCAGAAACCCGUUCUUUUUGUUAGCUGCUGUGCUUUGUUCUGGUCCUCUGCUUUGCCAGUUUCUAUACAAUAAAUGUGCUUCUGGUUGGACUGAACUCUUGAAUCAUUCUGUUAUUGAUAUUAUAUUGUAG